rnacentral:rRNA from 1 species
CCUACGGGAGGCAGCAGUGAGGAAUAUUGGUCAAUGGCCGGAAGGCUGAAGCAGCCAAGCCGCGUGAAGGAAGAAGGUGCCAAGCACUGUAAACUCCUUUUGUCAAGGGACAAAAUCAGGCUCGAGAGUCUGACCGAGGGUACUUGAAGAAAAAGCAUAGGCUAACACCGUUCCAACAGCCGCGGUAAUAUGGAGGAUGAGAGCGUUGUCCGAAUUUAUUGGGUUUAAAGGGUGCGAAGACGGACUGUUAAGUCAGCGGUAAAAGCCAGGGGCUAAACCUCGGCGAGCCGUUGAAACUGGGUGACUUGAGAUGUGGAGAGGUGAGCGGAAUGCGCGGUGUAGCGGUGAAAUGCUUAGAUA